AUGCCUCCACCUGCGUCCAGGCCGAUGUUCCGGAUCGCUCCCGCUUCCUCACCCACCUGGCCGCCUGCCGAGUCGCACCUCCACCUCCCGCUGGCCCGGGCUAGUUCUUGCCUGCUCGCCGCCUCCGCCAUUUACCCUGCAACGGUGCUGCGCCGGCCUCCGGUGUCCGCCACCGGCUCCUCCCGUGCCCAGACGCGCCUGUCCGUCCGACUCUGCCCGCGCCGGCUUGUGGCGACCCGGCUAGCUGGCUCCCGCGCCGGCCUGCCCGUGCCGGCUCUGAGUCGACCCGGCCUCGUCCCGCUCCGGUCCGUCCCCACGCCGGCUUCGCCUCCCCGUCCGGCCCUGCUGGCCACCCGAGCCCCUGCCGGGUCGCCACGCUCAGGUUCCGCCCGUGCCUCAUCGUCUGCGCCUCGCGUCGCCUUUGCCUCGACCACGUGGCCUCGGCCUCUGCCGUCUCUGGCUCAGCCGCGCGCCUGCAGCCCAAUCCGGAUUGGCCGGCCGGCUCUAGGCCGACCACGGCCUCACGCCUCCGCCCGGCUCGCGCCCACGCACUUCAGUGCCAUCUGCUCCAAUCCGUGCUCCUCCGAUUUGAUUCUAUCCCAUGCUGAAUUGCUGAAGUGUUUGGUUUUUGCCCCUGUUCUGGGUUACCGUCGUGGUCCUCGCUUCUGCCCUUGA
rnacentral:rRNA from 1 species